rfam:Schistosoma haematobium scaffold1515_14, whole genome shotgun sequence.
AUCCAGCUGACCAGUCCCAAAUGGGACGAGACGCGCAUCAAACUGGAU